rnacentral:rRNA from 1 species
UACAGAGGUCUCAAGCGUUGUUCGGAAUUACUGGGCGUAAAGCGUGCGCAGGCGGUUCGUUGUGUCCGUCGUGAAAGCCCCGGGCUUAACCUGGGAACUGCGAUGGAAACUAGCGAGCUGGAGUGUGGCAGAGGGGGGUGGAAUUCCGCGUGUAGCAGUGAAAUGCGUAGAGAUGCGGAGGAACACCGAUGGCGAAGGCAGCCCCCUGGGCUAACACUGACGCUCAGGCACGAAAGCGUGGGGAGCAAACAGG